UACGGGGGGGGCAAGCGUUGUUCGGAAUUACUGGGCGUAAAGGGCUCGUAGGUGGCCAACUAAGUCAGACGUGAAAUCCCUCAGCUUAACUGGGGAACUGCGUGUGAGACUGGCGAGCUUGAGGACAGGAGAGGAACGCGGAAUUCCAGGUGUAGCGGUGAAAUGCGUAGAUAUCUGGAGGAACACCGGUGGCGAAGGCGGCGUUCUGGACUGUUUCUGACACUGUAAAACGAAAGCCAGGGGAGCAAACGGG
rnacentral:rRNA from 1 species